rnacentral:rRNA from 1 species
GCGCCACGGAACAAGUUUUCGGACAAGGGAAGUGGUUGCUGAGUGGCGGACGGGUGAGUAACGCGUGAGGAACCUGCCUUGGAGAGUGGAAUAACGACUGGAAACGGUCGCUAAUACCGCAUGAAGCAUUUAGGUCACAUGGCCUUGAAUGCCAAAGAUUUAUCGCUCUGAGAUGGCCUCGCGUCUGAUUAGCUAGUUGGAGGGGUAACGGCCCACCAAGGCGACGAUCAGUAGCCGGACUGAGAGGUUGACCGGCCACAUUGGGACUGAGACACGGCCCAGACUCCUACGGGAGGCAGCAGUGGGGAAUAUUGGGCAAUGGGCGCAAGCCUGACCCAGCAACGCCGCGUGAAGGAAGAAGCCCUCGGGUUGUAAACUUCUUUUAUUUAGGACGAAAAAAAUGACGGUACUGAAUGAAUAAGCCACGGCUAACUACGUGCCAGCAGCCGCGGUAAUACGUAGGUGGCAAGCGUUAUCCGGAUUUACUGGGUGUAAAGGGCGUGUAGGCGGGACUGCAAGUCAGAUGUGAAAUUCCAGGGCUCAACCCUGGAACUGCAUUUGAAACUGUGGUUCUUGAGUGAUGGAGAGGCAGGCGGAAUUCCCUGUGUAGCGGUGAAAUGCGUAGAUAUAGGGAGGAACACCAGUGGCGAAGGCGGCCUGCUGGACAUUAACUGACGCUGAGGCGCGAAAGCGUGGGGAGCAAACAGGAUUAGAUACCCU